rnacentral:rRNA from 1 species
GAUGAACGCUAGCUACAGGCUUAACACAUGCAAGUCGAGGGACCGGCGCACGGGUGAGUAACACGUAUCCCACCUGCCCUUUACUAGGGGAUAGCCUUUCGAAAGAAAGAUUAAUACCCGAUAUAACGGAUGGGGAUGCGUUCCAUUAGGUUGUUGGUGAGGUAACGGCCCACCAAGCCUUCGAUGGAUAGGGGUUCUGAGAGGAAGCCCCCCCACAUUGUAACGGAGACACGUUCCAAACGCCUACGGAGGGCAGCAGUGAGGAAUAUUGGUCAAUGGGCGCUAGCCUGAACCAGCCAAGUAGAGUGAAGGAUGAAGGGUUAUGGGUCGUAAACUUCUUUUAUAUAAGAAGAUGUAUUAGAUGAAUAAGGAUCGGCUAACUCCGUGCCAGCAGCCGCGGUAAUAC